GACGUAGGGCGCGAGCGUUGUCCGGAUUUAUUGGGCGUAAAGAGCUCGUAGGCGGCUUGUUGCGUCGACCGUGAAAACCCGUGGCUUAACUGCGGGCUUGCGGUCGAUACGGGCGGGCUGGAGUUCGGUAGGGGAGACUGGAACAAACGGUGGAGCGGUGAAAUGCGUAGAUAUCGUUUGGAACGCCAAUGGUGAAAACAGGUCGCUGGGGAUGAGCUGACGCUGAGACACGAAAGCCAGGGGAGCAAACGGG
rnacentral:rRNA from 1 species